rnacentral:rRNA from 1 species
UACGGGGGGGGCAAGCGUUGUUCGGAAUUACUGGGCGUAAAGGGCGCGUAGGCGGCCUGCUAAGUCGGACGUGAAAUCCCCCGGCUCAACCGGGGAACUGCGUCCGAAACUGCGAGGCUCGAGUAUGGAAGAGGGUCGCAGAAUUCCCGGUGUAGAGGUGAAAUUCGUAGAUAUCGGGAGGAAUACCAGUGGCGAAGGCGGCGACCUGGGCCAAUACUGACGCUGAGGUGCGAAAGCGUGGGGAGCAAACAGG